UGUGACUAAAUGAAGGAAGGCUGAGGGGUUAAAAUCAUUGCUGGGUGAUUUCACCACUACUGCCCCAUAUUCAUACUCUCGGUAAAUGAAUGAGGAGAGCCCCAUGUGGGAUUACAAACUUGCUGGAAAUGGAUGAGAAACCUUCUGCUCUGCUGGAGUUUCUUAGAUCUUGAGUGUGCCUUAAAAUUCCAUUUCAUGGAGAACUGUGCGUGGUUGAAUUUUGAUUGAUUACUCAAUUAACUGAUGUAUUGGUAGAGUGAUUAAGAAAGAAGACUUUGGGAUCAGACCAACCUGGUUUUGAAUUCAAGCUCAGCAACUUACUAGGGUCAAACCGGAAAGAUGACAAUGAAUGUGGUGAUAUUUUUGUUACUACUUUGGGAGAAAAACUCCUGACGGUGCUGAUGUCCAAUGAAAUGAGACUGGGUUCUGGAAGAAUUUGAUAAGUGGGAAGUGGGAGAGACUUAGAAGCUGGCCAGCAGGGAAACUGCUGAUGGGAAAAUGACUGUCAAGGGUUUUUUAUACAUACCAGCGGCAUCACACUGGGAUUCAAUUUUUUUUUUCUCUCUAUCAUUCCUGUAGGUAAGGAGGAGAAAAGAAAGAAGGAAAAAUUGGAAAGAUAAAUGGGGUCUUUCCAGUGAAGGUGAGCUUGAUUUUUGUCUGUUGAACUUUGGCAAGACAGCAAGGGUUGGAUUAAUUAAUGAUUAGCCUCCAGGCCUCCAGACUGGAACUUAUACCACUGAUUCUUCUGAAUCUUAGGCCUUUGGACUUGGACUGGAACUAAACCAUCAGCUCUUCUUGUUCUACCACUUGCAGACUGUAUGUCUUGGGACAUGUCAGCCUCUGUAAUCACGUGAGCC
rnacentral:lncRNA from 10 species